AUGCAGCUCCAGAGCUGCCAUCUGCUGACCGAGGCUAACUGAACAGGGCUCUUGUCAGAAUUGGGGUGAGGGACCCCAAGGAGCAGGCAAGUUCGAUGGGGCGAGCGCACUACGGAGCCUCUGCUGCUGGAAGCUAAGAUACCCAGAACAGGUGCACAGCUUCCCUCAAGCAUCAGGCCAGCAAGCAGUUCUAGCCUUCACCUACCAGCUGCCAGGUACAGAGGAGCCUAGCAUAACUGUCUUCUGAGAGGCUCCACCCAGCAGCCAAUGGAACAAAUGCAGAGAAAGACUCACAGCCAAACUUUAGAUGGAGCUCAGGUGUCUCACGGAAGAGUUGAGGAAAAAAUUGAGGAACCCAAAGAGGACAGGUACUCCACAGGAAGACCAACAGAGUCAACUCACCUAGACCCUCAGGGGCUCCUAGAGAUUGAAUCACCAACCAAAGGGUGGGCAUUGGUUGGACCUAGGCCGCUGCCCAUAUGUAGAAGAUGAGCAACAUGAUCUUCAUGCUGGUUCCCCAACAAGCCCCGCCCCGAAUCCAUUGCCUGCCUGCCUGCCUGCCUGUGGACCCCACUCCCCUAAAGGGACUGCUUUGUAUGACCUCAGAGGAUGCACCUAUUCCUGCAUCAUUCCGGUGUGCCGGAGGGAGUUGGUACCUAGGAGGGGCUCCCCACUCUCAACGGAGAAGGUGAGGGUGGAAUGGGGGAGGGUCUGUGU